rnacentral:rRNA from 1 species
AUUGAACGCUGGCGGCAGGCCUAAUACAUGCAAGUCGAACGAGAGGCGGACGGGUGAGUAGUGUCUGGGAAACUGCCUGAUGUAGGGGGAUAACUAGUGGAAACGUUAGCUACUACCGCAUACCAUCGGUUGUGCCGAGGUGGGAUUAGCGAGUGGGUGGGGUAAAGGCUCACCUAGGCGACGAUGCAUAGCUGGUCUGAGAGGCUGAUCGGCCACACUGGAACUGCGACACGGGCCAGACUCCUACGGGAGGCAGCAGUAGGGAAUAUUGCACAAUGGGCGAAAGCCUGACGCAGCCAUGCCGCGUGAAUGAAGAAGGUUUUCGGGUUGUAAAGUUCUUUCGUCAGAGAGGCGUUACCUGCAGAGGAAGCCACGGCUAACUACGUGCCAGCAGCCGCGGUAAUAC